ensembl:lncRNA
GCAGGCCAGCCCCUAGAGAAGGCUUCCUUACCUGAGAUUUUCCCUUCUGACACUCUCACUGUUUGAGUCUUGCUCUGUUUUCAUUCUUUUUUCUUAGAAACUGUUUAUUUUCCAUCAACCUUACUUCCAUUUUCUGUUGAACAGUCUGUGGAAGGACAGACUAAGACCAUUCAGUGGUUGUACCCACCCGUUUGGUGGCCUGAGCAGUGGCAGUUGCAGACCAAUCAGACUCAGUAGGGAACUGCUGAACAGGCUCAGGGGACACCUGCACCUUCCGACCAGCCGGCGACCUCUGGUUGGGUAGCAGUAAAUUCGGGAGUUGGAGCAGUCCAUUCACCCUGAAAUUCCUCUUGGCCACAGCCAUUUCAGCCGCGGCCUGCUCUUCCUUUUCAAUCUCUUCAGGAUCUCUGAGAAGUAGAGACGAGACGCGACUUCCAAGGGAGUUCAUGGGAUGGCGCCACGCAUGCGCAGAAUUUCCCGGACCACCAUCCAUCAUCUCAGUCCCGCUCAGUGAGCUCCCUGUGGUUGCACGGGAUGACACUGUCCACAUGGCAGAGGAGGGUCUGUGUUAUAUAACAAUGGUUGGCAGGUUAACGUAGGACGCCUCUGUGAGAGGCUGGUGGUCGGCCCUGGGAUCAGUAACCAGCGGAGGUUGGGGCUGCAGGAAGGCCCCCUGGAACUGGUGAGUGAAGUGGCCUCCAAAGGAGUGGUCUACCUGCAGCAGCAAACUUCAGCACAGCUCAUUGGCCGGUAUUCCUGAAGGAAAUGACUUGGACAUCAGCCGGGUUUUCAGUGGCAACAAUGGCGCAAGCUGCUUGCAGAAGCUUUUCCCAGGUUCUCUUCAGAUUAAUGUAGAGGCCAUCACUUUUCCUUUUGAGGAUGUACUGUUCCAUUUGGAAGUCAAGGUUGAUGCCACCUAAGUGAAUUCCUGCUGCAAGGAAUUUGAGAAAAUCCUCCUUCCUCAUUUGCAGGACAUCAAGGGCUCUGGACAUUGUGAAAGUUUCCCUUUAAGUUAGUGCGGGAACCCAGAACAGUGCAGACGGACCCCUCUAUGGGUAGCGCAGAAAGACCUUGCUCUGUUUUUCAUAACACCUCUUGGUUUUCACAGGACAUCUCUCCAACUGAUUGAAGACUUAGACUGUACUUAUUCUUGUCUUCUUUGGCCCAGGACCCUCAACCACGCUCUGUGGGGUGGUUGACUCCUCACAGUCCCAGCUGCUUUCCUGUGGAUGCACCCCACUGGCCGAUACGUCUUGUAAAGUGUGGCUUCCACAACUGGACACGAGAUUCCAGAUGACUUAUUAGAAAAGGUUGACAGAGAAGAAAAGGAGGUCUAUGGACAUAUGCAUUGACAAAUGAGGCCCCUCUGCAAAUGAAGCUUCCUGAAACUUGUAUCAGAUUGGAGCCUGCCCAGUGCCAUCUACUGCUGAUGUUCUGACCGCGUAGCCAGCAACAACACAGUUGACUUUAAUGAAAACAGAAUGUGGAGACCGAACACAAGUCUGCAUCCAAAUGCCGCCAGAUAUCUGGAGGGAAAUUGAAAAAUUCAUGCAACCAUGAGAAUGUUUUAAAUUAUCAGAUGUUAGAUGGUGUCAUCCAGCAGCUAGAGGCUAAAAAGGGGCACUCUACAAACCGAAUGAAAACAUAUUGAGUUAUAAUCAGAAGCACAAGCAAAUGGAAGCAAAAGUGUGACUAUCAACAGCGAGCUGCAGUGUGGAUUCUCGGUACGGCGGGACUGGUCUCCAUCAAGUGUUUUGUGCGAGUUUAGACAGCAACAGUGAUGUCACCUAGGAAGGCUCUUCCCGGGGUCAGAGUCUACAAGGGAGGGUUCAAAAUCAUUAAACGAAAAUGAUGAAGGAAAAGUAUUCGAGUGUUCUUAAACGAGUAGAAUCAAUGCCGUUAAAAUGAGAUUUGAUUAGUAACAACAGAUAAAUUUUUAGCGAAGAGUAGAAUUUUAUCUCAGUCCCAAGCAGGGAGGGAUGAACACCUUGAAUUCGUUG